AAAAACAUAACCUUUAGCCAAACAAAUAUUAAAGGCAACGCCUGCCCAGUGAACAAUUAAACGGCCGCGGUACCCUAACCGUGCAAAGGUAGCAUAAUCAUUUGUCUACUAAUUAUAGACCUGUAUGAAAGGCAAAAUGAGGGUCUAACUGUCUCUUAUAAUAAAUCAAUUAAACUGAUCUCCUAGUAAAAAAGCUAGAAUAAUAACAUAAGACCAGAAGACCCUGUGAAGCUUAAAUCAAACUAUUAAACCAUAUAAUAACUACUUUCGGUUGGGGCGACCUUGGAAAAAAAAAGAACUUCCAAGACCCAGCACAGCUGAUAAUUGAACCAAGUUACUCCAGGGAUAACAGCGCAAUCUUCUUCAAGAGUCCAUAUCAAAAAGAAGGUUUACGACCUCGAUGUUGGAUCAGGACAUCCUAAUGGUGCAGCCGCUAUUAAGGGUUCGUUUGUUCAACGAUUAACAGUCCUACGUGAUCUGA
rnacentral:rRNA from 1 species